GUGGGAGUUGAAGUCCAAAACACCAGGAGGGCCGAAGUUUGCCCAUGCCUGGAAAAUACUAUUUGGGGGUGCGCACUUUGGACUUGCUGUCCAAAAACAUUUCCACCACACUGCUGUGUUUUCACAUAUAAUGCAGUUUUUUGGUGUCACUUCAUCUGCCAUGGAGCAGUGCUAUGGGACCUUGGGAACUGUAGCAUAGCAAGGUCUUUAGUUUUUUCUGUGCCUCACCAAAGGACAAAUCCCAGGGUUCCACAGCAUUCAGUUUAAUUGCCCGUGUCUGCUGUAGACUGUUUCACAGUAAGCAAAGGGGCUGCUGUGAUUUCACAUACUGUAUAAUGGAGUUUGAUAUCUGGCUUGCUAGGAGUCUCCGGUGGCCUAGGGGAUAAAAGCCUCCUGACUUGAAGGUUGGGUUGCUGACCUGAAGGCUGCCAGGUUCGAAUCUCACCCGGGGAGAGCGCAGAUGACGAGCAUCCCCCGGGCAACGUCCUUGCGGACAGCCAAUUCUCUCACUCCACAAGGAACUCAGGUUCCUCCUGACACACACACACACACAAAUCUGGGUUGCUGUGGGUUUUCCGAGCUGUAUGGCCAUGUUCCAGAAGCAUUCCCUUCUGACGUUUCACUCACAUCUAUGGCAGGCAACCUCAGAGGUUGUGAGGGAAGUUUAAAUAUCUGUGGAAGGUCCAGGGUGGGAGAAAAAAUUCGUGUCUGUUUGAUGCAAGUGUGAAUGUUGCUAUUGGCCACCUUGAUUAGCAUUGAAUAGCCUUGCAGCUUCAAAGUCUGGCUGCUUACUGUCUGGGAGAAUCCUUUGUUGGGAGGUGUUAGAUGUCCCUAAUUGUUUCCUGUCUGGAGUUCCCAUUUUUUUUAGUGUUGUUCUUUAUUUACUGUCCAGAUUUUAGAGUUUUUAAAUACUGGUAACCAGAUUUUGUUCAUUUUCAUGGUUGUCCCCAUGCUUGUGGAUUUCAGUGGCUUCUUUGUGUAGUCUGACAUGGUGGUUUUGAGAGCGGUCCAGCAUUUCUGUAUUCUGAAAUAAUAUGCUGUGUCCAGGUUGGUUCAUCAAGUGCUCUGCUAUGGCUGACUUCUCUGGUUGAGUUAGUCUGCAGUGCCUUUCAUGCUCUUUGAUUCAUGUUUGGGCAAUGCUACGUUUGAUGCCCCCUAUGUAGACUUGUCCACAGCUGCAUGGUAUACAGUACACUCCAGGCUUUGAAGCUGCCAGGCUAUUCAGUGCUAAUCAAGCUGGCUAAUUGAAACAUUCAAGCUUGCAUCAGGCAGACAAAAGUUCUUUCUCUCAGUCACCCUGAACAUUCCACAGAUAUAAUAAUAAUAAUAACACUUUAUUUAUAUUCUGCCCUAUCUCCCCGAGGGGACUCAGGGUGGAUCAUAGAACACAUACACGGCAAACAUUCAAUGCUUCAAUGCCAUUUGGAGUCAGGAGAGAACAGAAUAAGAUAACCAGAAGGAGGUAUGUAGUCUUGAAGUCCAGUUUUUUGGGGUUUUUUUUGUGCCUUGGAGGUUGACGUUGCGCUCGGAUUCAGUCCCAGGGGUUCUGUUGCUUCAUUCUCUAUGGUGAAGAGCCAUCAGGACUUCCUCUUUCCACCUUCCUCUUGGUCACUGCAUUUCUGGUCUUGUUAUUUAUGGUGUUGUAAAAUACCUCGCAACUUGUGGUAAAAAGUUCAGUCCUGUGAAGAUUUUUAAAAAUCUGUGAUCUUUGCCUGCCUAGAGAAACAGCUGUGGAUCCAGGCCGGAGGCAGACUGCAUUGGAUAAUAUAGAACGUUGGAUGAACGAAGGUUGGAUAAGCGAGACUCUACUGUAAUGAAGUUUGAUAUCACUUUAAGUGCCAUGGGAUCAUGAGACUUGUAGCGCUUUCUGUCAAUGAAUGCUAGUGCUUCACCAGACUAUAAAUCCCAGAAUUACACAUCAUUGAGACACUGCAGUUAAAAGUGGUGCCCAACCACACUGAUUUUAUAGUAAACAUGAACCUCAGAUGGCUCAUUGCCUGUAGACUCUUUUCUUAAAAUAUGGAUCACAUGAUUUUGGGGGGUGCGCUUAGUGCUUGCUACUUCUGUUCAAAGCCAUUUUCACACCAAGUGAAGAGAUUGCUGUGAUUUCAUUAUAUAAUGCAGCCUGGUAUCACUUUAACUACCAUGAGUCAAUGCUAUGGGAUCCUGGGAGUUGGAGCAUUACAAGGCUUUUAGCCUUUUCUGUUAAAGAGUGCUGCUGCAUCAUCAAACUUCAAAUCCCAGAAUGGCAUAGCAUUGGGUAAUGGCGGUUAAAAAUUUUGGCCAAUGCGUUGAUUCUAUACUGAAGAUGAACCCCUAUGGUGAGGAUUGCAUGUAGACUGUUUUCCUUAAAUACAGAUCACUUGCCUAGUUUCCAACAGAUCCCUCAACCUCUGAAGACACCUGCCAUAGAUGUGGGUGAAAGGCUAGGAGAGAAUGUUUCUGGAAUAUGGCCAUGCAACCUGGAAAACUCACAGCAACCCAGUGAUUCCGGCCAUGAAAGCCUUUGACAACACAAGGAUCACAUGAUUUUUGGGGUGCAUUUUGAAGUUGUGCUGCUUUUGCUGUGAUUUGUGUGUAAACUUAUAGUAACCUGGGAUAAUUUUCACACUAUGCAAAAGUAUUUAUAUGAUUUUACUUCUAAUUCUUGGGAUUCCACCUUACAGAAUCCUAUAAAAUAUAAUUUAGGGAGGGAGUAUUGAGAGUUCUCAGUCCCAAAGCUCCAAGUGCCUCCCCAAACUUCAAGCUUUAUGAUUCCAGUGGUUAUAGCUGUGAGAAUUAAAGUGGAAUAAUAGCACUAUAAUUUAUAGUGUGAAAAAAGUGUCCCAGUUUUCUUAUACUGCUGGAGAGGUUGGGAAGAGGCCAUUUGAUUUGGUACAAGUUUCUCUCUCCCCCACCUCCCCCUCAACCCAUCCAACUCACCAAAGGUCCGAUCAUUUUAUGCAGAGCAAUCCCUUGAAAUCCAUUUAAUUACAAAUAAGUCUUGCUGAAUUUAAUAGAAUUUUUCCUGAGUGAGCACUUGUGCCUUCUAGAGCAACUGUGCAAAUCUGGUUCCCAACCUUUGGUCCACCAGGUGUUUGGGACAUCAACUCCCAAUAACCCCUAACAGCUUGGAACUCUGGGAUGGAAGUGCAAAACACCUGGAGGACCAAAGGUUGGGAACAGGAUUGUGUACUUGAAUUGCUUUGUGUGAGUGAACGGCUUCUCUUCUCUUGUGCUUGUAGUGGGUUUUUCCAUAGCACUGAUUUUUGGAAGGAAAACAGCCCCCAUCUUGAAAUGGUAGUGGAAGGAGUCAAACCAAGUAGAGCAGCCCUUUAUGUUGUAAAAUAUAUAUAUGGGAGGAUGGGAAUAUUGUUCGCACUUUGAUGAAAACUCCUGAAUAAUAAAGCAGACUCUGUGGAAAUAGGUGAAAAUCAAUUUCUGAAAAGUUGCAUGAGAUUGGAUGUGACACAUGAUCCAUGGAAGGGUACAAGGGAGAAAACCCAGUAUAUUUCAGGAAAAAAAAAGAUUGGAUGCAACUUAUGAGCAGCAACUAACCUAGCCACCUGACUUUUUUCAAGACAAGAGGUAGUAAAAAUAUACUAUAAUAAAUCAUUGGUAAUUAAUUUCUCUGUCAUGUCAUCCAGAAUAAGCUACAUAUAUGAAGUACCUGUCUCAGUCUGCUGAAUGAUAGAGACCGACCUCUGAUUCACCGAAUUCACCUUUGAGGGUCUACAACGUCUAUAACCCUCCAGAGAGCUACUGCUGAGGCUAUCCAUCCUCCUACACUGUGUCGCUAUCGUCGGAGAUAGAUGGAAAACGGAUUGGAAAAGCAUCGGCUGUUUCUCUUCACUUGCUUUUGUUUCAUUUUCUCAACAACUUGUUUUCUACAAUAUAUACCUUGCUUCUCUGAAGCAAUCUGAAGGUUCCUCAGGCUUUUAGUGAUGAAUUGUUGAUAUCAAAGAUGAGCUCUUGCCUUUAGGACCCAAUCCACACCAAACAUCCACUGUGUACCCUCCAAAACAUAUCUAGAUAAAUGUGUUUGUACUGAACACUUGCUGUAACUGUUUUGUCUUGUUAGUAUUAGAAGUUCAUACACUAUAUUGCUGAUAUAGCUUUAGAGAUCAGAGGUUUCAGAAAAGAUUUUAAAGACACACCUGCCUAAUUCACACAUCAUCUGCAAUUAUUUUCCAAUACUGCUGCAAUAUACUUCUUCUACUUAAGUAAUUGCAUAUUCUUGCCCACCUUUUAUUCCUUUGUCUACUAUAGGUUACCCUGUACUGAAUUACUGAUUAUGCUCAUUUGGGGACAGAUGCCUAUGCUCUUACAGUAUGAAAAAUGAUGUUGCUUGCAUAAAUAAUUUCUUAAUGCUUUUCUUUGUAUGUUUCCUCCUUAGAAAUUUAUCUGGGCACUUCCAGUUAUAGACUUCUCUCUCCAGGCAUGUAAUCCAUCUGUAAUCAUUGCUGAUACCUAUUAAGCACAAGAGAUAUCCCGUCAUUUCUGCUUUAGUUUUUAAUGGAAACCUACCCCCUCAAAUAUGGAAUGACUCCUGGAACUGUAGAAAGACUACUGAAAUUGUACAAUGUGAAAAGGCCCCAGAUCCAUUUCCAGAGUUUUCAGCUGUAAUACUAUUUUUCUCUGAAAACAGAAGAGCAAUUAACUUCUGAGAAGACUCUAUUGACAAUCUAUUUCCAAGGGCCUACAAGAAUGGGGUCUAUUCUUGAUCCAGAGCUCGGCAUCUGGAGAACCAAGGAAGAGCCCACAAAUGUCUGUCAUCUCAUCCAUCAAAAAAAUAAAACAAAUCGACAAUAACAACAAACCCUGACAGACACCUCCCCUUGCAUUAUUUUACAAAAGUCCAAAUUUGACAAGUUCUUUUUAAAAACCACCAAUUUACAAUGUAUCCUCACAAAUCAGGAUGGCAGAAAUGACAGGAAAGGACAAAAAGAGAGUCAAGGCAGAAAAACGGAGAGCAGACCUCUUCUAGGUAGGACUAAAAGCACUCAAUACAUUUCCUGCAGAAAACUUCACAGGUUCCUCUCUUUUGGAAGAAUUAGAAAAAACUGUUGAAAGCCCAGUUUGUGACCCUCUAAAGAAAGAGUUGAUGCAAUCACAAGGGAACCUAAAGAAGAUAUGCCAUUAUAAAAUAAAAACAUGGUUUCGGAUGUAGGAAAUGUCCAAUCACUUGAUAAAGAAGCAAAUUAAAUUCCUUUUCCCGUGGUAAGCAAGAUUGAAGAAGAGCUGCAUUCUGAUUGUUUUGACAGGAAGAGUGUUAAGUCAAGAGUCGGCGUUAACAUUCAGUAUAUUACAAAUAAAUUUCAUGCUCAAGUAGAAAUUGAAAAAUAUGUUACCAGUGGCCACAUCCCACAUAUCUGUGCUUUAUGUUUGAAUUGACAAUGUUAUUGCAGGAUAUGUUUUAGUGCAGUUAAGAGGUUGGCUGAACAUUUUUAUUUCUUGUCAAAUUAUCCCACAAUGUCUGGAAUUGAGCUAGAAUUUUUUUUUUUAAAAAAAAACCAACACCAAUAUUCUACUGAUAUUAAUGAUGCCACAGAAAUGCAAACCUUCAGAAUUGCUAAAUUUAUCAACUUACUACAAAAUCUGUGAGAUAUUUCCAAAUGUUCGUGCUAGUUUGAGAAUAUUGUUGACAAUUCCAGUCACAGCAGAAAGAUCUUUUAGCAAACUCAAACAUAUCAAAAAGUUUUUAAAGAUCUACCAUGUCUCAGACUUGAUUUGUUAAUGUAGCAUGUCCGAAUAUUGAAUCAAGCAUGCCAGGUAAACCAAUUUUGAUGGUGUUAUUAAAAAUCUUGCAGAUCAAAAAGCCAGAAAUGAUGUCUUCUGUCCUUUUCAUAGUACACAGCAGUGCAACAGAAAUUCUUUCAUUAUGGCAGAAAAUUCUAAUAGCUGAAUUCUCCCUCAGUGAUAUCCCAUAGAGCCAAACAUAAUGAGGAGAACACUUGAAUAGUUUAUGGUCAAUUUACAUUCUUGAGUUUCUACAAAUCUAUAUUGGAUCUGAAAUUCAACAGUGAUUUGAGUAAUGUGUUUGUGAAGGUAAAUAAUAUUCCAGUAUCUUUGUUUCUGGUACGGAUUAUUGUUAUCUCUUAUUUUUCUUUCAUUAAAUAUUCCUUCAAACAUCAACUUUUUCUUAGAAUAAUUUCUUUCUUUCCCUCCUCUGCAAAUGCUGAAGCUUCAGAGGGUGCUAUUUAAUUCUUUGGUAUAAAAAAGGAACAUAGCAGAUCAAAAUUCAAGAAUGUACUAAGGUUCUCACGCUUGCAUUGUCACUCUGACUUUUUCUCCAAACACAGUUUCACUUUUCCUUCUUAUAUACAGCAUUGGAACUUUGAACUGUGAGUUAUACUUUUAGUGGUGCCUUUUGAUUUAUGUCUUUCAGAUUUUCUAAUUGCCUUUCAACUUCUAUAUUAAAUGCGGCACAUAAAUUAACUAUUAAAUAUCAUGUAAAAACAGUUCAAUGAAAAAGUUGUUGUAUGUCUUUCGGGCUGUGUGGCCAUGU